UCGCGAUAUCCUCGCAGGGACAAAGACGGAGCUCUGGGUCGCGUCCGAGGAGCGCACCGAAGAGGGGAGGAGCAUCAGCGGCGCGGUGGUCCUGUAUCCCUCGGCGACCAGCGGACUCCGACCUGGCGCCGUGUGCAAAGACGAGCAGUGGGGCGGCCCCGAGGCCUGGGUCGUGUGCAGAGGGAACGCUACCGAGAACGAGGAACUCACCGAAGCUCAUCCAUUCGACAUGCCAAAGACCGAGCAGAUGCCAGAGGUCAUGCUCAGUAAGAUUCAGUGCGAAGGAAACGAGUCCAGCAUCUCCUACUGCAAAUGUUCCGGGUCGCGGUGCUCCGAGAGAUGGGGGAAGAAGAAAUGCGAAGGUCCAGCUGCAGUGAUGUGUAUCUUUAAGAACAAGCCAGUGAAAUAAGGCCGUAGGGUAGACUUUGGAACUGAGCUAAUGGAAACAGAUCUCAGUUGAUUAGAACAGGAUUAGUGAGUAGUAAACUGUGAUACUUUAGUAAUGUGAAAAAGAAGGAAACCAAUAUUUUUUUUUAAUUCUUUGUAGUCACAUCCUUUUAUGCUAGACAAUCACGUUCCUUUUGGAUAGUAUAUUGAUAUCACAUGGAUUGAAUUUGUCUGUGUUUCGAUCACAGAAAUUUUUCAGAGCUUAUUUUAUCUAAUACUGCAUAUCAAAAUUAUUUUACCUGGAAUAUAUGGCUUGUUCUAGCCAUAUAUUUGAUUAAGUGCCUGAUACUUUUCAACUUUUACAAAUUUGUAUCAACAGAUGCAUUAGCAUGGUUUUAAACUAUGGCUCCUUAUGCAAAUCCCAUCCCUGUGCAAUCAGAACCUGCACUAAACAUUUAAUUCGUUGUCAUUUGGCAGAGGGAUUCCGUUCUGUUCUCUGUGGGAAAUCCUUCGUGUGGGUUGGAGUCCUUGUCAGGGAUGGUAUUUGGACAUCUGUGUCUUACGCGUUAUUGCAUUUUUACAUCGUAUACCACCAUAUUUUUGUUGAAAUCCAGUGUGCCUUCUUCACCUACUUAUCGACUUGUAAGAAUGGUACAAAACUAUAUUUAAAUUGGGCAGCAUUAGAUUUCAUAAAUAAUAGAUUCCAUGUGUAACAUUUUGUGCUCUGAGAGGUCAUUCGGACAAAACGGCCGUCUGUCGGUUUUAUUAGAUUCCUGCCGUCAUUUGUAGCAACUGGUCAACAAGACUAAACUUUUGUGCAACAACUUUACAUUGCACUUGUGUCACUGAGGUCAUGGUCUGCAAGAACGUAUUUUUGUGCACAGUAUGUAUCCCAUUCUAAAAGUAAGCUCAUCAUAAAAAGUGAUAAUUUAAUGUUAACACAAAUAUGCCUGUAACAAUAUUGUUUCUAGAAGAAUGUGCAUUUUCAGCUUCACUAAGAAUUUUGUAAAUCCUAACCAUAUUUAGCUUUAAAAAAAAACUCAAUAUUAAUCAUGAAAAUGAAUACAUAUUGUUUUUUUUUUAUGAAGCAGGUGUGUGUUUGUCAGUUUUUCAUAAAAACUAUUUAAUUUCAUUUGCAAUUUUUUUCCCAAAAUAUUUUCAGAAUAGAGGGAUUUGUAAUACAUCAUAAUCUUGAAGAAGCUUGCUGAAUAUAUUUAUAUGUAAUCUGAAAAUACGGAAAAUUCUUAACAGAUUUAGGAUUGCAAACCUUUUUGCAUCAGCUCUACAGGACAAUGAAAUUCUGUAUGAAUUCGUGUUUGAUUUAGGAUUUUAAUUAUAUAUGCUAUUUUUAAUGCAUCUGAAAGAACAUGUUAUAAACGGAUGUAGAAUUAAUUUUGCAUGAAAAGCUACUCGCACAGAGGGAUUCAAUGUAGCAGGAAAAUUAUAAUUGGCUUUAACCAUUUUGUUGCAGUCAUUUAUGGAAAUAAAUUUGAACCUGGUA